rnacentral:rRNA from 1 species
UACGUAGGGGGCCAGCGUUGUCCGGAAUCAUUGGGCGUAAAGCGCGCGUAGGCGGCCAGAUAAGUCCGGUGUGAAAGUCAAAGGCUCAACCUUUGAAUGCCGCUGGAAACUUUCUGGCUAGAGUCCGGAAGAGGAGAAUGGAAUUCCUGGUGUAGCGGUGAAAUGCGCAGAUAUCAGGAAGAACACCCGUGGCGAAGGCGGUUCUCUGGGACGGUACUGACGCUGAGACGCGAAAGCGUGGGGAGCGAACAGG